rnacentral:snoRNA from 1 species
GUUAGCAGAAAAUCACCCUUGGCCUGCACCAUGCUAGAAGGUGAGGUCCUUGAACCAAGCAAUCAGGACCUCAGGUCACAACCUGCCUGCAGUGCAAUUCAGGUGAAACCCAGGGCUCCAACAAGC